rnacentral:rRNA from 1 species
CAGUCGCCACGGUAAUACGAAGGGGGCUAGCGUUACUCGGAAUUACUGGGCGUAAAGGGCGCGUAGGCGGCACGAUUAGUCAGGCGUGAAAUUCCUGGGCUCAACCUGGGGACUGCGCUUGAUACGGUCGAGCUAGAGGAUGGAAGAGGGUCGUGGAAUUCCCAGUGUAGAGGUGAAAUUCGUAGAUAUUGGGAAGAACACCGGUGGCGAAGGCGGCGACCUGGUCCAUUACUGACGCUGAGGCGCGACAGCGUGGGGAGCAAACAGGAUUAGAUACCCCCGUAGUCCCUGUCUCUUAUAC